rnacentral:rRNA from 1 species
AUGGAGUUAAUCCAGUAAGACCCCUUAGAGAUGAUGAGGUUGAUAGGUCUCGGGUGGAAGCGUGGCGACACGUGGAGCUGAGAGAUACUAAUCGGUCGAGGACUUAUCCUAAA